rnacentral:lncRNA from 1 species
GAGUUUUGUAUGCGCGGAGAGUCAUAGAUGCGUGUGGGCAUCUGGUUUCUGCGGGCCGGAUGUGAUGAGGGUUUCCUCCUGAAAACCUGAUGAGUUCAGUCAUCUCUUUUUUGCGGUGCAAUUUGAUCAUCCGCUGCACAUAUACAUGGAAGAAGAGUUAUGGUGUUGAUCAGCUAGCUUAUAAUGUAAUUGUCAAACAACAUUUAUGUGUUUACUUGCAAUGUAUGCUCAAAGCACAUUUAUGUACAUGUGAAAAAUAUAUAAUUUGAGCUGUUGGAGUGAGCUGUUGAAGACAAUUGAAGGUGUCAUAUUUUUUAGUGUAAAACUUGUUAUCUUCAUAUACUAGUUACCUCUAAAUUUUUUAUAGAUUAAAAUACAUGGCCGGUCCUUAAACUUGUGGAGCGAUCUCACUCAGAUCCGUAAACUUAAAAAAUACACGUUUAGGUCCAUGAUCUCGUUUUAAUGUACCAUCCUAGGUCCAAUCCGCGCGUGACAGCGUCUGACCGCCAACGUGGCGUGCCACGCAGGCAGUAUAUUUGCAUUCUCCCCCCUCCGCAAAAUGUAGGCAUUAAUAUCAUCCCUAAACACCACCAUGUGACGAAACGAUCCAUAACAAAGUAGUCUUCAAAUGUGAAAUAUGCAGUACCAUUGUGUGGAAUUACAGAUAGCGCAGUAGCAAACUAGCAGCCUCGGAGGCUUGAUUUAAAAUGCAGCAAAGAAUGUUGAUCGAAGAUAGCUCAAGUGCCUUUGAUUAAAACAACAUGACAGACUACAUUGUUGAUUUAGUAGUUGCUCACACUUCUGUAGAACAUUCUGUAGAACAAAACCAACUCGGAAUUUCAAUAAGAAACCAAAAAACAAGACGAUUCAUAUUGCUUUGCUGUCUUACAGGGUCUGUGUCAGGUUCCAGAAAUCAUCUCUCUUAGGCCAGGAAUAAGAAUAGUAUCAAACAGUGAUGUUAUUAGAUGACAUUUCAAGCCUGGCAAGCACAUUUUUUGACAGAAACAAACACAGUCCAUGGUUCAAAUUCAGUACAUGACAAACACAGCCCCGUCGACGCGCCUCGCGGAGCCCAGCGCCACGCCGCCACGAACCAGAGCCCUGCCGCCCCCGCCGCGCCGACGCCCCUCGCGGAGGCGCGCGGCGCGCCGCCUAUCCCGGAGCCCCGCCGCCCCCGCCGCGUCGACGCCCCUCGUGGAGCCCAGCUCCGCGCCGCCUCUCCCGGAGUCGUCGAGGUCGCCCUCUCUCCCUGGGAAGUGGACAGAGGGCAUUUAGGUUUGGGGAUUUUUGGGGAUUUAGGUUUGCGACAGAGGGAUUUAGGAGGGGGGAGAAUGCAAAUGUACUGCAGUCAGACCUGGUCAAGCGCGGAUUGAACCUGAGAUGGUACAUUAAAACGAGAUCGUGGAUCUAAACAUGCAUUCUCUAAGUUUACAGAUAUAAGUAAGACCGCUCUACAUGUACUUUCUUUUAGGAUCGUAAAAUUUCUGAAGAAAUAGCAUACAGGAAAUCUGUGAAUGCUGUCGUCAGACGUAAGAACUAACGACAUAAGACGAACCCAUUGUGUACGCCGCCUCAUCGUGUUACUCCCGUCAUGCCGAUUCGGCAUGAAAAAAAUC